CCUUCUUUAUUAAUUUUUUUAACUUGUGCCCACAUUUUUUAUUACAUCACAAUGUGUUGGUUCUCAAUCUUCGGAAGCUUAAAUUCAGGCAGGUUGCGUAGACAGCGUUUACCAACACAUGUAUAGUUGGAACCACAAACUGCCUUACAUUCUAGGCUUGUUUUACAAGGAAAAUUAUAAACACAAUUUGCAUCUGAUUGUUUGCAUAUAUCUGUAUUCAUACAAAUAAUACAUUAACAUAGAAAGAAUAGAAUAUAAUGCAAUGAAAAUUAGAAGGUAUAAAACACAUGGUCGAGAUUAAAAAUAAAAUAUAAUUUCUAACCUGCUGCCAUGAUAAAAACCAAAAAGAAAGCAAAUUUAACAAGAGACAUCCUCACACUCAAC
rnacentral:lncRNA from 1 species